AUUGAACGCUGGCGGCAGGCUUAACACAUGCAAGUCGAGCGGGGUGAUGGUGCUUGCACUAUCACUUAGCGGCAGACGGGUGAGUAAUGCUUAGGAAUCUGCCUAUUAGUGGGGGACAACAUCUCGAAAGGGAUGCUAAUACCGCAUACGUCCUACGGGAGAAAGCAGGGGAUCACUUGUGACCUUGCGCUAAUAGAUGAGCCUAAGUCGGAUUAGCUAGUUGGUGGGGUAAAGGCCUACCAAGGCGACGAUCUGUAGCGGGUCUGAGAGGAUGAUCCGCCACACUGGGACUGAGACACGGCCCAGACUCCUACGGAGGCAGCAGUGGGGAAUAUUGGACAAUGGGGGGAACCCUGAUCCAGCCAUGCCGCGUGUGUGAAGAAGGCCUUAUGGUUGUAAAGCACUUUAAGCGAGGAGGAGGCUCUUUUGGUUAAUACCCAAGAUGAGUGGACGUUACUCGCAGAAUAAGCACCGGCUAACUCUGUGCCAGCCGCCGCAGUAA
rnacentral:rRNA from 1 species